GCUGGGCAUGGUGGUGCAUGUCUGUAAUCCCAGCUACUUGGGAAGCUGAGGCAGGAGAAUUGCUUGAACCCAGGAGGCGGAGGUUGCAGUGAGGCGAGAUUGCACCACUGCACUCCAGCCUGAGCAACAGAGCGAGAUUCUGUCUCAA
ensembl:misc_RNA Metazoa_SRP Metazoan signal recognition particle RNA